rnacentral:snRNA from 1 species
UUCCAUUUGCAUUAGCUUCCAUU